ensembl:snoRNA U3 Small nucleolar RNA U3
UGGAUUCGUAACAAUGGGCGAUCUAUUAUAUUAUAUGCAAGGCUGUUAUUAGACUGGCAUGUGAUAUGUUGACUCGGUAUUCCUCUCUGAGAGCGAGGUGGGUUUCGGGUGGUGAUUUAUUUCACCUGCUUGUAACCUUUGUUGGCCGUUCAUUGCUUGUUUGUAGGCCAUUGAGGGAAUAUUAACUGAGCGGU